AAUUCAACGACUGAGAUUCGUCUACGUCAUCACGAGUUAAAAUUUAACUCCAGUAAAAUUUUAACUCCUGAAAUUUUACUCUCAAUAAAAUUUUUACUCCUACGAGUUAAAUUUUAACUCGUGAUGACGUAGAUGAAUCUCAGCCGUUAGAUU
rnacentral:pre_miRNA from 2 species